UUUGACAUUUGGCAUAAUAAGAUUAGUAAUACCCAUAAGUGAUCUUUAUUGCCCAAACAGUGAGUCUACAAUGAGAGUUUCCCAUUCCUGCAAGAACUUAGAAGUGUUCUGACAUAGAUAGAUAGUACAUACUGUAUAGUAAGCACUGAACUUAAGUAACUCCAAUUGCAGUUGGUUAAUCAUUCUCUUCCAAAAUUAAGAUGUUACAAGUUAUAUCAACAACUUUUCCCAUUUGCCAUUAGUAUUUAAUACUAUUGCAUUCAUAAAUUGAUAUAGGAUAAGUUCAGAUUUACUUGACAGAGUGAAAGAUGAAGGGAAGGCCAAAAUUCACCUGCAACAAUUUUAGCAGAAAAGUUAUCGUGUGGCCGGUUAGAGAUAUAAUAAGGGUGAGAGCUAGGAACACAUUAAAAGCUAAGUCAGGCUAAAUGAAUGGCAAAUCGACAAAUUUGUUACUGGAGCAGCGGCCCACCCCGUGUAACGCUUACUUAUAUGCAAUCGAAGCCUAGACGAGACUGAUGAGAAACCAAAGGCAUCGUUGUCUGCCGCCAACACACUCCCUUUUGCCUACGAUGUCCUCCUCCUCUAUGUGCAACGGAUGAUGGUUCUGGUUGUGUACUCAAUAAGGUGAGUUCGCUGUUGCUUGAUUUAAAACUGGGACAAUAGGUUUCUUGAUUUGUCCCGUGGCAACCUUUUUUCUGGUAGGUUUUUUCAAACAAUUCUUCUUCUAUGAUAAGUUGAUAACACUGAGAUUAUCAGGAAAGGAUUCAGAGUUUGCUGAAUCCAGAUUACCACACACAUGAUGCAGAAUUAACAACCAGGACUUUGAAGGAUGGAUGACAGUGCUUAUUAUGUGGUAGAAAUCAAAUAUCGAAAGGAGAAUAUAAUGUUAUCGAAGUCGAGGGGAGAGACAUAUGGGCUGGGAGUUCUGGAUUUGAUGUCGUCACACUGAUCAAUUCCACCGUGCUAGAUGAAAAUGCCGUCGCCAUCGAUGCCUCGUUCGCCGUGUGUGCUGGCCCUUACCUCCGCACUGGCAUAUGGUAGUUUCUUCCUUCCUGAUGUUCAAUUGAUAAGCAUGAUCAUGUUGUGUCAUAGCGUGUACAUUUGCUCGGAAGAAAUAGGUGUCUGCUUAUUUCCUUUCUUUAGAUGUUCUUCUUUGUUUUGUUACUCCUACAUGAUGGAGAACGUAGUAAUUUCAAAAAUUUGCUACGCA